rnacentral:rRNA from 1 species
GACGAACGCUGGCGGCGUGCUUAACACAUGCAAGUCGAGCGGUAAGGCCCUUUCGGGGGUACGACGAGCGGCGAACGGGUGAGUAACACGUGGGUGACCUGCCCUCAGCUCUGGGAUAAGCCUGGGAAACCGGGUCUAAUACUGGAUAUGACUCCAUGACGCAUGUUGUGGGGUGGAAAGCCUUGUGCGGCUGAGGAUGGGCCCGCGGCCUAUCAGCUUGUUGGUGGGGUGAUGGCCUACCAAGGCGACGACGGGUAGCCGGCCUGAGAGGGCGACCGGCCACACUGGGACUGAGACACGGCCCAGACUCCUACGGGAGGCAGCAGUGGGGAAGUCUUGCGCAAUGGGCGAAAGCCUGACGCAGCGACGCCGCGUGAGGGAUGACGGCCU